rnacentral:rRNA from 1 species
CGUGAUUAUAUACAUAAGAUGUGAGCGAGAACGUUUUUACCUUUUCUAAAGAGUUUAAAGCCGGGACAGGGGUAAAUAACCAACGGAAAUUCCCCCUAUAUUGGGGGCAAACCCUGGGGGAAAUUCGGGCUAAUACCCCCAUAUUUUCUUCCGGGAAGAAAGCAGGGGAACUUUGGCCCUUGCGCUAUUCGAAAAGCCCCAUGUCGGAUUAGCUUGUUGGUGAGGUAACGGCUUCCCCAAGGCGACGAUCCGUAACUUGUUUUGAGAGGAUGAUCAGCCACACUGGGAUUGAGACACGGGCCCAGAUUCCUACGGGAGGCAGCAGUGGGGAAUAUUGGACAAUGGGCGAAAGCCUGAUCCAGCCAUGCCGCGUGUGUGAAGAAGGCCUUCGGGUUGUAAAGCACUUUCAGCGAGGAAGAACGCUUCGGGAUUAAUACUCCCGAGGAAAGACAUCACUCGCAGAAGAAGCACCGGCUAACUCCGUGCCAGCAGCCGCGGUAAUACGGAGGGUGCAAGCGUUAAUCGGAAUUACUGGGCGUAAAGCGCGCGUAGGUGGCUAAGUCAGCCAGGUGUGAAAGCCCCGGGCUCAACCUGGGAACGGCAUCUGGAACUGCUUGGCUAGAGUGCAGGAGAGGAAGGUAGAAUUCCCGGUGUAGCGGUGAAAUGCGUAGAGAUCGGGAGGAAUACCAGUGGCGAAGGCGGCCUUCUGGACUGACACUGACACUGAGGUGCGAAAGCGUGGGUAGCAAACAGGAUUAGAUACCCUGGUAGUCCACGCCGUAAACGAUGUCAACUAGCCGUUGGGUCCCUUGAGGACUUAGUGGCGCAGCUAACGCAAUAAGUUGACCGCCUGGGGAGUACGGCCGCAAGGUUAAAACUCAAAUGAAUUGACGGGGGCCCGCACAAGCGGUGGAGCAUGUGGUUUAAUUCGAUGCAACGCGAAGAACCUUACCUACCCUUGACAUCCAGAGGACUUUCCAGAGAUGGAUUGGUGCCUUCGGGAACUCUGAGACAGGUGCUGCAUGGCUGUCGUCAGCUCGUGUUGUGAAAUGUUGGGUUAAGUCCCGUAACGAGCGCAACCCCUAUCCUUAUUUGCCAGCGAGUAAUGUCGGGAACUCUAAGGAGACUGCCGGUGACAAACCGGAGGAAGGUGGGGACGACGUCAAGUCAUCAUGGCCCUUACGGGUAGGGCUACACACGUGCUACAAUGGCAAGUACAAAGGGUUGCAAUACGGCGACGUGGAGCCAAUCCCAUAAAGCUUGCCUCAGUCCGGAUUGGAGUCUGCAACUCGACUCCAUGAAGUCGGAAUCGCUAGUAAUCGUGGAUCAGAAUGCCACGGUGAAUACGUUCCCGGGCCUUGUACACACCGCCCGUCACACCAUGGGAGUGGACUGCACCAGAAGUGGUUAGCCUAACCUCCGGAGGCGAUCACCACCGUGUCGAGCC